CCUACGGGUGGCAGCAGUGAGGAAUAUUGGUCAAUGGGCGGGAGCCUGAACCAGCCAAGUCGCGUGAGGGAAGAAGGUCCAGCGUAUUGUAAACCUCUUUUGUCGGGGAGCAAAGCCGGGCACUAGUGCCCGGAUGAGGGUACCCGAAGGAAAAGCAUCGGCUAACUCCGUGCCAGCAGCCGCGGUAAUACGGAGGAUGCGAGCGUUAUCCGGAUUUAUUGGGUUUAAAGGGUGCGUAGGCGGACUGUUAAGUCAGCGGUAAAAGUGCGGGGCUCAACCCCGGCCGGCCGUUGAAACUGGGGAGCUGGAGUGGGAGAGAAGUACGCGGAAUGCGCGGUGUAGCGGUGAAAUGCUUAGAUAUCGCGCAGAACCCCGAUUGCGAAGGCAGCAUACCGGCGCCACACUGACGCUGAGGCACGAAAGCGUGGGUAUCGAACAGGAUUAGAUACCCGAGUAGUC
rnacentral:rRNA from 1 species